ensembl:lncRNA
CUUGGAAAGAAAGUGGGGGGGGGCCAGAUGAGCACCCUCAAGGGUCCACUUCCAGGGUCUUUAAAGGAGGCCUCAUCUCCCUCAGGUAGAUGCUUCAAGGCCACACUGAAGGGCACGUGUCAGCAGGACCUGGUCCCUCCUGGGGUCACAGAUGGCAUCUUCUGGACAGAGCCCCUCAAGUCCACAUAAGCCCAUGCUUCAGAGGAUGAGACAAAGGGUGAAAACAAUUUGCUCAUCUGUAAAAAUAAUAAAUGAGACCCUUUGGUCUCAGUGGCCCCAAUACAGGCAGCACGGGAGAAGGACCUAAUUUACUCAUGGGAUUUUUUUUCCCUUUGAGUUGGAAAUUCACUGCUAUAGAAGGGAAGGACUCACAGUGCUCAUAAAAGAAAGGAGAUGGAGGAAGACCUCGAAGGGAGUCAAGAGUGGCUCUGUCAUCUGUCUCCUGAUUUACACGUGGACAAAGACACACUUCCUCUCUCCCUCCCUCUCUCAACAUGUGAUGCAUCACACUUGCACCCCUGGAUCAUUUCCAACACCUGCCCCCUUAACCUCCAGCCUCUCCAGGUUCCAGACGCCCCUGGAGGUUGGUGAGGGCAGCACAGGUGGGGAACGCGGACUCACACAGGUGACAGCAGGAAGGUACUAGGUGACCCCUCCAAGACGGCGGCAUGAGCUGCUCAACACAUCCUUUUAAACCAGUGUGCACACAUGGCAACAGUAUCCACUCAACAGGCCCCUGGAAACCACCACGCUGCUCCCUGUCUCCAUGGAUUUGCCGGAUCUGGACAUUCUGUGGAAUGCCACAUCGCUGCCACCUGGUGUGAUUGCAAGAGAGCCUGACACCACGUUCAGAUCCUACCCAGCCACGACUCCACCCCCGAAUAAAAGCGCAGAGCUAGCCACUAAAUGCAGACCGCAGCUGAUUAUACCUGACUCAGCCUUGGGUUGCCUGUGCCUGUUUCCUGCCCCUCUACAUCUGCAUUUAUGUGCCCCUCUCUGGUUGUAGGCUCCUAGGGUAAUAAAAGAGAUUUUAUGCCAACUAUUGGCC